UCGGAAUUCCGUGUGUAGCAGUGAAAUGCGUAGAUAUACGGAGGAACACCUGAGGCGAAGGCGGCUUACUGGACCGAUACUGACACUGAGGAUCGAAAGCGUGGGUAGCAAACAGGAUUAGAUACCCUGGUAGUCCACGCCCUAAACGAUGUCAACUAGCCGUUGCGGGUAUCGACCCCUGCAGUGGCGCAGCUAACGCGAUAAGUUGACCGCCUGGGGAGUACGGUCGCAAGAUUAAAACUCAAAGGAAUUGACGGGGGCCCGCACAAGCGGUGGAGCAUGUGGUUUAAUUCGACGCAACGCGAAGAACCUUACCUGGGUUUGACAUCCUUAGAAUUCUUUAGAGAUAGAGAAGUGCCUUCGGGAGCUAAGUGACAGGUGCUGCAUGGUUGUCGUCAGCUCGUGUCGUGAGAUGUUGGGUUGAGUCCCGCAACGAGCGCAACCCCUAUCGUUAGUUGCCAUCAUUAAGUUGGGCACUCUAGCGAGACUGCCGGUGACAAACCGGAGGAAGGUGGGGACGACGUCAAAUCAUCAUGGCCCUUAUGUCCAGGGCUACACACGUGCUACAAUGGCAGAUACAACGAGUUGCGAACCUGCGAGGGUAAGCUAAUCUCUUAAAGUCUGUCUCAGUUCGGAUUGCACUCUGCAACUCGAGUGCAUGAAGUUGGAAUCGCUAGUAAUCGCGGAUCAGCAUGCCGCGGUGAAUACGUUCCCGGGCCUUGUACACACCGCCCGUCACACCAUGGGAAUUGGUUGCACCAGAAGCCGCCGGGCUAACCUUCGGGAAGCAGGCGUCUACGGUGUGGUCAGUAACUGGGGUGAAGUCGUAACAAGGUAACCA
rnacentral:rRNA from 1 species